rfam:Schistosoma mansoni, Puerto Rico, WGS project CABG01000000 data, contig: 0062
AUCCAGCUGACUAGUCCCAAAUAGGACGAAACGCGCGUUCUGAAU